rnacentral:rRNA from 1 species
UACAGAGGGUGCAACCGUUGCUCGGAAUCAUUGGGCGUAAAGCGCACGUAGGCGGCCUAGCAAGUAGGGAGUGAAAGCCCUCGGCUUAACCGAGGAAGUGCUUUCUAAACUACUAGGCUUGAAUACUGGAGAGGGUCGCGGAAUUCCCGGUGUAGAGGUGAAAUUCGUAGAUAUCGAGAGGAACACCGGUGGCGAGGGCGGCGAUCUGGACGAUGACUGACGCUGAGACGCGAAAGCGUGGGGAGCAAACAGG